UACGGAGGGCGCAAGCGUUAUCCGGAUUCACUGGGCUUAAAGGGUGCGUAGGAGGGCAGGUAAGUCAGUUGUGAAAUCUCCAAGCUUAACUUGGAAACUGCCGUUGAUACUAUCUGUCUUGAAUAUUGUGGAGGUGAGCGGAAUAUGUCAUGUAGCGGUGAAAUGCUUAGAUAUGACAUAGAACACCAAUUGCGAAGGCAGCUCACUACUCAAUCAUUGACUCUGAGGCACGAAAGCGUGGGGAUCAAACAGG
rnacentral:rRNA from 1 species